rnacentral:rRNA from 1 species
CACGUAGGGUGCGAGCGUUGUCCGGAAUUAUUGGGCGUAAAGAGCUCGUAGGCGGUGUGUCGCGUCGGCCGUGAAAACCUGCAGCUUAACUGUGGGCUUGCGGUCGAUACGGGCAUCACUGGAGUUCGGCAGGGGAGACUGGAAUUCCUGGUGUAGCGGUGAAAUGCGCAGAUAUCAGGAGGAACACCGGUGGCGAAGGCGGGUCUCUGGGCCGAUGACUGACGCUGAGGAGCGAAAGCGUGGAGAGCGAACAGGAUAGAUAC